GAUGAACGCUGGCGGCGUGCCUAAUACAUGCAAGUCGAGCGAACAGACGAGGAGCUUGCUCCUCUGACGUUAGCGGCGGACGGGUGAGUAACACGUGGAUAACCCUACCUAUAAGACUGGGAUAACUUCGGGAAACCGGAGCUAAUACCGGAUAAUAUAUUGAACCGCAUGGUUCAAUAGUGAAAGACGGUUUUGCUGUCACUUAUAGAUGGAUCCGCGCCGCAUUAGCUAGUUGGUAAGGUAACGGCUUACCAAGGCGACGAUGCGUAGCCGACCUGAGAGGGUGAUCGGCCACACUGGAACUGAGACACGGUCCAGACUCCUACGGGAGGCAGCAGUAGGGAAUCUUCCGCAAUGGGCGAAAGCCUGACGGAGCAACGCCGCGUGAGUGAUGAAGGUCUUUGGAUCGUAAAACUCUGUUAUUAGGGAAGAACAAAUGUGUAAGUAACUAUGCACGUCUUGACGGUACCUAAUCAGAAAGCCACGGCUAACUACGUG
rnacentral:rRNA from 1 species